UAGGGAAUAUUGGACAAUGGGGGAAACCCUGAUCCAGCAAUGCCGCGUGAGUGAAGAAGGCCCUCGGGUUGUAAAACUCUUUCAUCAAUGAUGAUAAUGACAUUAGUUGAAGAAGAAGCUCCGGCUAACUUCGUGCCAGCAGCCGCGGUAAUACGAAGGGGGCUAGCGUUGUUCGGAAUCACUGGGCGUAAAGCGUAUGUAGGCGGAUCAAAAAGUUAGAUGUGAAAUCCCUGGGCUCAACCCAGGAACUGCAUUUAAAACUAGUGAUCUAGAAUUUGGUAAAGGUUAGUAGAAUUUCCAGUGUAGAGGUGAAAUUCGUAGAUAUUGGAAAGAAUACCAGAAGCGAAGGCGACUAACUAGGCCAUUUUUGACGCUGAGAUACGAAAGCGUGGGUAGCAAACAGG
rnacentral:rRNA from 2 species